AUUGAACGCUGGCGGCAUGCCUUACACAUGCAAGUCGAACGGUAACAGGUCUUCGGAUGCUGACGAGUGGCGAACGGGUGAGUAAUACAUCGGAACGUGCCCGAUCGUGGGGGAUAACUACUCGAAGGAGUAGCUAAUACCGCAUACGAUCUACGGAUGAAAGCGGGGGAUCUUCGGACCUCGUGCGGACGGAGCGGCCGAUGGCAGAUUAGGUAGUUGGUGGGAUAAAAGCUUACCAAGCCGACGAUCUGUAGCUGGUCUGAGCGGACGACCAGCCACACUGGGACGGAGACACGGCCCAGACUCCUACGGGAGGCAGCAGUGGGGAAUUUUGGACAAGGGGCGAAAGCCUGAUCCAGCAAUGCCGCGUGCAGGAUGAAGGCCUUCGGGUUGUAAACUGCUUAUGUACGGAACGAAAAGACUCCUUCUAAUACAGGGGGUCCAUGACGGUACCGUAAGAAUAAGCACCGGCUAACUACGUGCCAGCAGCCGCCGUAAGAC
rnacentral:rRNA from 1 species